CCUCCCGCACGUACAGAUGGACACGAAUAGGCUUCGGCUUAGCGUCUUAGCAGGCGAUUACUCCACUGCUCUCGAAGCGAGUAGUGGUAUUUCGCGAAUUGUAAUUUCAGCACGAGCGGGGUUAAAUCCUUUGCAGACGACUUAGAUGUGCGAAAGGGUCCUGUAAGCAGUAGAGUAGCCUUGUUGUUACGAUCUGCUGAGGGUAAGCCCUCCUUCGCCUCGAUUUCCUCAUGAACUCCAGCGGCCGACGGCCGCGAGCACACGAGGGUUAGGGGACUGCCGCGGGCAGGGACUUGAGGGGCCGCGCCGACGAUUCGGUGCGGCCAAGUCUCGUCUCGACGACGCAAGUACCCUGGAAAGGAUAUUGCGGACGGCCGUGACGGCCAAGUGCGUGUCCGCGACGCCAGGUACCCUGGAAGGGACGCGGUCGAGGCCCGAGACGUGCAACGCAGAACGAAGUGCCCGAGUGCGCCGGGUACCCUGCAAUAGGCUUUAGAGGGCGAGGCGCCAGGUACCCCGGAAAGGGCCUGGGGUGGCCAAGUACCCUGGAGAGCGAUUCCCUAGUACCCUGGAAAGGAGAUGGAUGCUGAGCCCCCUGGAAUGGCCAAGUACCCUGGAGCAGAAUUCCCGAGUACCCCGGAAAGCGAUUCCCAAGUACCCUGGAAAGCAGUUCCCAAGUACCCUGGAGCAGAAUUCCCAGGUACCCUGGAAAGCAAUUCCUACGCACCCUGGAGCAGAAUUCCCGAGUACCCCGGAAAGCGAUUCCCAAGUACCCUGGAAAGCAAUUCCCAAGUACCCUGGAGCAGAAUUCCCAGGUACCCUGGAAAGCAAUUCCUACGCACCCUAGGGCGGAAUUCCCAGGUACCCUGGAAAGCAAUUCCUACGCACCCUAGGGCGGAAUUCCCAAGUACCCUAGGGUAGAAGCCUUAAGUACCCUAUAAAGCAGUCUUUAGGUACCUUAGAAAGGAGAUCCUAAGUGUAAAUAUUUUUUCGGUAAAUAAAAUAGACAUAGAAGUAGCUGUAGUAGAGAAGUAGUAGGAUUAGAAGCGUUACUUAUACUAAGGCCUAUAUUAUAAAACUGUUAAAUAGGGUACUAGAAAAUAAAAGAGUUAUUAAGGGACUAUACAAAGGAGGUUAGAUUAAGAGGGGAGCUUUUUCUUAAAAGGUAAGUAGUAUUCUACUUUUAUACAGUCACCUCUCUUAAUAAGGGUAGAAGAUAAGAUAGAAAUAGGCUAUCUAUACAGGUAAGGAUAUAUAGUAACGCCUACAUAGUAUAAAGAAUAGAGUGUCUAAGUAUAGUAGUAAAAGUAAAUAGUACUAAGACUAGAAUAAUAUAUACUUAUAUAUUAGAUUCUAAGACGUAUAUACAAGAGAGAAGCUUUAAUGCUUAUAGUAGACUAUAGGUUUAUAAAGAAUAGAGAUAAGUAAAGACGGAGAUAAAGGCAGACCUCUAAAGGAAAGCUACUUUAUGGAAAGGAAGUCUAGGUACCCUAGGAAGGCCAAGUACCCUGGAAAGAACGUCCUAGGUACCCUGGAAAGGCCAAGUACCCUGGAAAAAGUCCCAGGUACCCUGGAAAGGCCAAGUACCCUGGAAAAAGUCCCAGGUACCCUGGAAAGGGACUUUCUACCUUGGCGCCUAGGCUAUAAGUAGGUAGUAUAGGGCUGUAGAGCGCCUCUAGGGGAGCCUAGCGCACCAGGCCCUAUAGCUAUAGCGCCUACAGCGGGCGAGAAAACCGCUGCGGAAGUUCAAAAAACCGGCGGUUGGACUGCGGGGUGGGCGCCCGCGGGCUGCCCGGCACGGCGGGCUUAUAGAGCUCGCUGCGGCGGUUACAGCGCCGUAAGGCCCUAUACGGUAGGCACUAUAGCGCUGGAGAUACGGCGGCCCAAAGCCGCAGGUACCCUGGAAGGCAAUUGUCAAGUACCCUGGAAGGGAAAAAGAGGUGGGCCGCAGGGCGCCGCCGAGCAGCUGGUGGCGGCGACGACGUGGGCGGUCGACGGGCAUACCUGGGUUUUGCGUGCGGGAUCGGAUAAGGUUUUGGUGGCCGUGAGUCGAUUUUUUUGUUUUCCCAUACAAAUCUUUUUUUCGGGAAAUGUUUUUUCGGGACAGAAGCAGGUGGAGCGGGGCCGGGGCGCAAAAAGUGUCGCAGGGCCUAUGAGAAGAGAGCGAGUGCAGCCAACCGGCGGCACAGCGCAACUGCUCCACCCGCUGAGGGUGCGCGCUGUAGAAAUACAGCGCAACCGUCCCAUAUCUUAAUGACUGCUGCGUGGCGUCUCUCUGAACAGCCUCGCAGGUAUCUUCCUCGGUGGCGGGGAGUUCGUAGCAGCAGUCGACGCCCACUGUGGUGCACCGCUAAGGCGGCGCAUCAUCCUGGGAGUGCCCGGAGGGUUUGGGGGUCACGAGCCCCUAGACCCGAAGGAUGGGUUCUGUGGAUGAAUGGCCGUUGGCUAUACUUACACUGAGCAUCGGGAGAGAAACGCCCGCGGUCGGACGCUGAAUAGCUGAAGCCGCGGGGCCAGUUGCUCCUCUUGGGACCCCCCAACCACGCAACCCCCCCGGGGGCACAGCGCGGUGAACGGGGUCCUGGGGAAUUCAGAGGGGGAAAGCGGAAGCUUCCUCUGCGCCUACGGCCUAGCCGGACGGCCGCAGGGGGGGCGCGAGCGCUGUUUCGGCAGCGUGAGCGAUUCCGGUGACUAAAACGCUUCGGCCGCUGCUUGCAGCGCCGAUGGCCGGCUCACCCCGGCGCACGAUA
rnacentral:misc_RNA from 1 species